UUUCCCAUUUUUUGAAGGGCAUUUUGACAACCAGCAGCAGAAUCCAGUUUAUAGAUGUCAUUUGUGCUAUAAGACGUUUCGUUCCUACAUGUCAGAAAGGAUGCAUUUCCACUAUCAGCACAAAAGUCAUCGACAUUUUCCUUGUAGUGUUUGUGGCAAAACCUUCACUAGGAAACACACUAUGGUUAUGCACAUUCGUGCACAACAUCCUCAAAAAAAAUAAUUAAAAAUCUUUAUUUCUUGAAUAAUGAAGUAAUAUGUAAGGUCUGUUGAAAUCUGCAGCAUUAUCUUAAAUAAAAUCAUUUGAUUUAUUGUAAGUCAUAGAAAAAGCUCUUAAAAACAGGGCUGGCACAAGAUAAUUUUGUUUAUAAAUAUGUAUUUGGUUGGUACAAGUAUGGUAAAACAUAUGAAACACAUUUAUGAUGACAUUAUUAACUGCAGAUAAAAAGUAGGAGUUUAAUGACAGAGCUUACCAAUUUAUUUAUCAAUUAGUAGGAUUAUUGCAGCUACCUAAUGUUUACACUUGAGCAAAAAAAUUCUUAUUCAACAUUACUGAAGAUAUGGUUCAUGCUGCAGUCUGUUGUGUGGUACUUUAUCUGGAGUCUGUUGUUAAAUCAGAUAAAUUGUAGUUUUGAUGUAACUUACAUUGAUACUACUGUGUUCAUAUAAUUUCUGUGUUUUAAGGUGCCAGCUGCAGUCAUUUUUAUUACUUUUUAAAAUACUUUGUUUAUGUUGUUAUACAAUUGAGGCUGUAUAGUUCUCCCAUGAUCUAUGCACUUGUAUCUAGUUUUGUACCAACAUUGUAUGUUUCAGUUGAAAGAAGUAUCUUCAUUAAAGAACCUCUUAUUUUCAUUGUCUCAUCAGAACGUUUAUUAACAAGGAUAGCAACAGUACUUGAUUUGUAAUAGUUUCAGGAACGUGGGCAUCAUUGAAUAAUGAAUAUCGGUCAUGGGGAUAUAAUUGUUCAUUAUGUCACAAAAGUUUCCGGUCCUAUAUGUCAGAAAGGAUGCAUUUUUACCAUCAACACAAAAGCCAUCGACACUUUCCCUGCAGUUCUUGUGGUAAAGUCUUCACACGAAAACAGAACCUUAUGAAACAUACAUCUUCCGUAUACCACUAUCAAGACUCAGAAGACGACAGGUAGAUCUGACAUGUGGUAUCUGUGGAAAAGAACAUUCUCGUAGAUACAAUCUUCUUCGACAUAUAGCCACACACAACAUAGAUAGAAGGAGAUUUUACUGUGACAUUUGUUUCAAGGAGUUCUUGUGGUUGCAAUCACUUGAGAAACAUAAAAGAAAUACUCAUAAAAUAUAUGUAUACAAAGAAAAGGAAGGAACUAAAAAUGACUGAUACAAUUUUCUCUAUCAAGUCUAACCUACAUUGUAGCAUGAAACGUUUUAAUAUUUGAAAUAUUUACUCCAGAAUUUUGAUAAUUUAAGUACAAAUGGAAAAAAUAUGCUAAAAUCUUUCUUCUUUUUACAUCUAAAGCUAAUCAUUUUGACAUUAGGUUUGUUUCUAUAUUUAUGCUUCAUUUGUGUCUUUUUGAACAAUUUCUUUUACUUGAAGUUUUCUUAGUAUUUUCUUUAAAGAAAUUUGUAUAAUUUGCUAGUUUAUCUCACGUGCUUAACUAAAUAUUAAAUAAUGGCAAAGAAUUGUUUUAAUACCCACCAAAUAAAAUAGUAAAAUGUGAAUUGCAAAUAAAACCCAUCAAAUUCACAUCUCUUGUAAGUCAUGCAAUUAUGCUGUAAAUUUCCAGAGUAAAACAACUAAGAUAUACAUUUAUAUAAAUACUUUGUUUUUAGUUAGUGAAAGUAAAUAGAAAAGGAAAAUCAAAACUUGAAAAGUUUUUUGAACAAACUACAGAAAACGAGACAAGUUUUUUCUGACAAUUCAUAAAUAUAGUGUAUAAUUGAACUGGAUGUACAUAUAAUGAACACAACAAAAAAAUUGGUCUAUAGAAAAGGCACAUAUAGAUUGUUUAUAUGUGUAAUAGUAUCUCAUGGAAAAAUUAGCCUAAUUUGCAUUCAGACAAAAGCUUAUUGAAGUUUUCUAAAGUAUGUGCAGAUAUUUAUAAAUUCAAAAGUUUCCUAUACCACGAAGGUACUCGGGAUCACCAGAUUCAAUGAACGUUGCUCUUUUCUUUCCUUAUUCUUGGGUAUUUCAUAAUGAACUUGACCUACAUUUAAUUAUAAUAAGUUCUAGAGGAAACACUUUUUUAUAUAUAAUAUUUUCCUCAUCUUACAUUUAUGUUUUUCUAAGUACAACCAAAAUGAAUAACAAUACAUGUACAAUAAGAUGUUCAAAAUAUACUUUAAUGUUUUAUGAUCUAAAAGAAAGAAUAAAUGUAAUGAUCUGCAUUAUUGAAUGUCUAAAAUUGUUAUGGUUUCUUACUAUGGAAAAUAUAACCUUCAGAGUGUUAGAUAUUCAAGAGUAUCUCUGUUUAAAGGUAUAUCUAUUCAAUGGAUUAUUUGACCAUAGUUAUAACAUUAUUAUGUCAGGGUUCAUCUAUAUUGCAUUCAUCAGUUGAAUUAUACAGCAACAGUAAGUGUUUGAUAUUUUUAGCUUUGAGUACUCAAAAAUAUUGAUCAAUUUGGAUGUUUAAAUCUUCUUCCAAUUAUUAGGGCCCACCAGUGGCACAGUAGUAAAUCUGUAGGCUUAUAAUGCAAAAAACCAGGAUUUGAUACCUGUGAUGAGCAGAGCACAAAUAUUAUAUUGUGUAACUUUGUGCUUAACAAACAAACAAAUUGUUGUGGAAAAUUGUAAUUUUAUUUCUGCUUCUCAGUACUUUCAAAAUCAAUUCACUUAAGAAAAAAAAAGAAAGUAUCAAUUUACUAUUGAUGUAUUAUCUAAAUGAAGGUUCUUUGGAAUUAAUAGAUGUAAAUAUAAGAAUAUAAACUCUUUUGUUAGAAUGUGAUUUAUUGAAAUCUGAUUUGUAGAUAAUGUACACUUACAGUGUUAAUCUAUAUUGAGGUAAUUACAUGCAAUCAAAGAAAGUUCUGUGUUUUUUGUCUUUCAACUGCAACUUUGUCAGAAAUGAAGAUUAAGAAACAUUUUGAUGAUCAGUGAAUUUGACAUCUAAAAACAAC